rnacentral:lncRNA from 1 species
CUGCAUCACUGCUUGUUCAGCGGGCUACUCCGCGGGGCUCGCGUCCAGUUACUAUGUGCCCAGAUGUAAAGGCAGCAGUCGCUUGAAAGUCACCCAUCUGCAGUGGCAGUGUGUCUUUCCUGAUUCCAGGUGCUAAGAACGCUCAAGCCAUGGAGAGAGAUGCAUUUGGAGUUGUUUACAUUCAGACAAAGCUCAUCUGGUUGUUUGCAGCUAGUCACAAGAUGCAUUUUAUCAAUUGGAGUCUAUUUCCAUGUUUUGGAAAGAAGAUGCAUCAUUACUUGAUCAAU